rnacentral:rRNA from 1 species
CCUANGGGGGGCUGCAGUGAGGAAUUUUGCGCAAUGGCCGCAAGGCUGACGCAGCAACGCCGCGUGGGUGAAGAAGGCCUUCGGGUCGUAAAGCCCUGUCAGGUGGGAAGAAAGGCUUGGUUGGAAAUACCGAUUGAGUUUGACGGUACCACCAGAGGAAGCACCGGCUAACUCCGUGCCAGCAGCCGCGGUAAUACGGAGGGUGCAAGCGUUAUUCGGAAUUAUUGGGCGUAAAGCGCGUGUAGGCGGGGAUGCAAGUCUGAUGUGAAAGCCCUGGGCUUAACCCGGGAAGUGCAUUGGAAACUGUAUUUCUUGAGUACUGGAGAGGAAGGGGGAAUUCCCGGUGUAGAGGUGAAAUUCGUAGAGAUCGGGAGGAAUACCAGUGGCGUAGGCGCCUUUCUGGACGGUUACUGACGCUGAGACGCGAAAGCGUGGGGAGCAAACAGGAUUAGAUACCCCANUANUC